UACGGAGGGUGCAAGCGUUAUCCGGAUUCACUGGGUUUAAAGGGUGCGUAGGUGGGCAGGUAAGUCAGUGGUGAAAUCUCUGGGCUUAACCCAGAAACUGCCGUUGAUACUAUCUGUCUUGAAUAUAGUGGAGGUGAGCGGAAUAUGUCAUGUAGCGGUGAAAUGCUUAGAUAUGACAUAGAACACCCCUUGCGAAGGCAGCUCGCUCCACUAUCAUUGACACUGAGGCACGAAAGCGUGGGGAUCAAACAGG
rnacentral:rRNA from 1 species